CCUACGGGUGGCUGCAGUGAGGAAUAUUGGUCAAUGGCCGGAAGGCUGAACCAGCCAUGCCGCGUGAAGGUCAGUGCCCUAUGGGCGUUAAACUUCUUUUGUGCGGGAGCAAUAAUGGUCACGUGUGGCCAGACGAGAGUACCGUACGAAUAAGCAUCGGCUAACUCCGUGCCAGCAGCCGCGGUAAUACGGAGGAUGCGAGCGUUAUCCGGAUUUAUUGGGUUUAAAGGGUGCGUAGGCGGUCCGGAAAGUCAGCGGUAAAAGCCCGGGGCUCAACCCCGGCGAGCCGUUGAAACUGUCGGACUAGAGACGGCGAGAAGUACGCGGAAUGCGCGGUGUAGCGGUGAAAUGCAUAGAUAUCGCGCAGAACUCCGAUUGCGAAGGCAGCGUACCGGCGCCGGACUGACGCUGAGGCACGAAAGCGUGGGUAUCGAACAGGAUUAGAUACCCCGGUAGUC
rnacentral:rRNA from 1 species